UCGCCUGUUUAACAAAAACAUGUCUUUUUGAAUUUUUUUUAAAGUCUAGCCUGCCCACUGAAUAAUUUUAAAUGGCCGCAGUAUACUAACUGUGCAAAGGUAGCAUAAUCAUUAGUCUUUUAAUUGAAGGCUGGUAUGAAUGGUUGGACGAGAUAUUAACUGUUUCAUAAAAAUUUAUAAUAGAAUUUUAUUUUUUAGUCAAAAAGCUAAAAUAUAUUUAAAAGACGAGAAGACCCUAUAAAUCUUUAUAUUUAGGUUAUUAUAAUUUUAUAGAUUUUUUUUGUUAUAAUAAUUGAUAAUAUUUUAUUGGGGUGAUAUUAAAAUUUGAUAAACUUUUAAUUGUUUAAAUCAUUAAUUUAUGAAUAAUUGAUCCGUUAUUAGCGAUUAAAAAAAUAAGUUACUUUAGGGAUAACAGCGUAAUUUUUUUGGAGAGUUCAUAUCGAUAAAAAAGAUUGCGACCUCGAUGUUGGAUUAAGAUAUAAUUUUAGGUGUAGCCGCUUAAAUUUUAAGUCUGUUCGACUUUUAAAUUCUUACGUGAUCUGAGUUCAGACCGGA
rnacentral:rRNA from 1 species